GAUGAACGCUGGCGGCGUGCCUAAUACAUGCAAGUCGAGCGAACUGACGAGAAGCUUGCUUCUCUGAUGUUAGCGGCGGACGGGUGAGUAACACGUGGAUAACCUACCUAUAAGACUGGGAUAACUUCGGGAAACCGGAGCUAAUACCGGAUAAUAUUUUGAACCGCAUGGUUCAAAAGUGAAAGACGGUCUUGCUGUCACUUAUAGAUGGAUCCGCGCUGCAUUAGCUAGUUGGUAAGGUAACGGCUUACCAAGGCAACGAUGCAUAGCCGACCUGAGAGGGUGAUCGGCCACACUGGAACUGAGACACGGUCCAGACUCCUACGGGAGGCAGCAGUCGGGAAUCUUCCGCAAUGGGCGAAAGCCUGACGGAGCAACGCCGCGUGAGUGAUGAAGGUCUUCGGAUCGUAAAACUCUGUUAUUAGGGAAGACCAUAUGUGUAAGUAACUGUGAACAUCUUGACGGUACCUAAUCAGAAAGCCACGGCUAACUACGUG
rnacentral:rRNA from 1 species